ACGGAAGGCAGCAGUGAGGAAUAUUGGUCAAUGGACGGAAGUCUGAACCAGCCAAGUCGCGUGAAGGAUGAAGGUAUUAUGUAUUGUAAACUUCUUUAGCAGUGGAGUAAUAAGGGGAUCGCGAUCCCUGAUGCAAGUACACUGAGAAUAAGGAUCGGCUAACUCCGUGCCAGCAGCCGCGGUAAUACGGAGGAUCCGAGCGUUAUCCGGAUUUAUUGGGUUUAAAGGGUGCGCAGGCGGCUUUUUAAGUCAGUGGUUAAAUCGUGACGCUCAACGUCAUCACGCCAUUGAUACUGGAGAGCUUGAUUGCGGUCGAGGUUUGCGGAAUUCGUUGUGUAGCGGUGGAAUGCAUAGAUAUGACGAAGGACACCGAUUGCGUAGGCAGCAGACCAGGCCGUAAAUGACGCUCAUGCACGAAAGUGCGGGGAUCGAACAGGAUUAGAUACCCUGGUA
rnacentral:rRNA from 1 species